rnacentral:lncRNA from 1 species
UUAGGUUUCUUAUUCCAAAAUCACGGUACGAAUAUACUGAUUAUUCGAACAAUCACGGUAUCAAUAUACUGAUUAUUCGAACAAUCACGGUUUUCAAGAUGAUGGAAAGUUCGUCAAGUCUUCCUCUCAUAUUGAAAUAUCUCUAUUACCAGUAUCGUUUUACCGGACGGUUUUCUCAAUUCGUUGCUGCGGAAUGAGGUGGAGCCACAUGUCGUGAAUGAAGAGUAUUGCUCCUAGCUUUAAGGAUUUUUGGAAGGCUGGUGAUUUUGAUGAGUUUUUGGAUGGUGAUUGUGAUACAAGUCUGGUGAGUGUUAAUGUGUUUGAUAUUUGGGGAUUUGUUUUAACUUUAUGAUGUUAGAGUGAAUAUUUGAAGAUUAUUUACUAAUUUUGU